rnacentral:rRNA from 1 species
GGCGCCUUGCGCGCACCGGCGGACGGCUCAGUAACACGUCGGUAACCUACCCUCGGGAGGGGGAUAACCCCGGGAAACUGGGGCUAAUCCCCCAUAGGCCUGAGGUACUGGAAGGUCCUCAGGCCGAAAGGGGCUCUGCCCGCCCGAGGAUGGGCCGGCGGCCGAUUAGGUAGUUGGUGGGGUAACGGCCCACCAAGCCGAAGAUCGGUACGGGCCAUGAGAGUGGGAGCCCGGAGAUGGACACUGAGACACGGGUCCAGGCCCUACGGGGCGCAGCAGGCGCGAAACCUCCGCAAUGCGGGCAACCGCGACGGGGGGACCCCCAGUGCCGUGGCAUCGCCACGGCUUUUCCGGAGUGUAAAAAGCUCCGGGAAUAAGGGCUGGGCAAGGCCGGUGGCAGCCGCCGCGGUAAUACCGGCGGCCCGAGUGGUGGCCGCUAUUAUUGGGCCUAAAGCG